ACCGGGUGCGGUGGCAUGUGCCUGUAAUCCAAGUCACUGGGAGGCUGAGGUUGGUGGAUCAAGUGAGCUGAGGAGCUCUGGGCUGCAGCACGCUAUGUCGAACGGGUGUCCAUGCUAAGUUCGGUAUCGAUAUGGUGUUCCUGGGGGAGCCCGGGACCACCAGGUUGUCUAAGGAGGGGUGAACCGGCCCAGGUCGGAAACGAAGCAUGUAAAUCCCCCUUGCUGUCCAGUAGUGGGAUAAUACCUGUGAGUAGAUGCUGCAGUGCAGCCUUGGCAAAACAUCGAGACCUAAUCUUUU
ensembl:misc_RNA Metazoa_SRP Metazoan signal recognition particle RNA